GUGUUUGUUUGUUUCAGCAGCACAUACACUAAAAUGAACAGUGCAGAGAAGAUUAGCAUGGCUCCUGUCCAAGGAUGAUGUGAAAUUUGUGAAGAGUUUAAAAAAAAA